GACAGGGUGGUGUAGUAGGCUGAGUGUUUGACUAAGAUUCUAGGAGACCAGGGUUCGAAUCCUUGCUCAGGCA